UACAGAGGUCUCAAGCGUUGUUCGGAAUCACUGGGCUUAAAGGGCGCGUAGGCGGGCGGCCGCGUCCGGGGUGAAAUCCCACGGCUCAACCGUGGAACGGCCUCGGAUACGGGCGGCCUCGAGGGGGUAGGGCAUCUGGAACUGUGAGUGGAGCGGUGAAAUGCGUUGAUAUUCACAGGAACGUCCGGUGGCGAAGGCGAGGUGCUGGACCCCAUCUGACGCUGAGGCGC
rnacentral:rRNA from 1 species